GAUGAAGAACGUAGCGAAAUGCGAUAAGUAAUGUGAAUUGCAGAAUUCAGUGAAUCAUCGAAUCUUUGAACGCACAUUGCGCCCGCCAGUAUUCUGGCGGGCAUGCCUGUUCGAGCGUCAUUACAACCCUCAGGCCCCCGGGCCUGGCGUUGGGGAUCGGCGGAGCGCCCCCUGCGGGCACACGCCGUCCCCCAAAUACAGUGGCGGUCCCGCCGCAGCUUCCAUUGCGUAGUAGCUAACACCUCGCAACUGGAGAGCGGCGCGGCCACGCCGUAAAACACCCAACUUCUGAAUGUUGACCUCGAAUCAGGUAGGAAUACCCGCUGAACUUAAGCAUAUCAAUAGCGGAGGA
rnacentral:misc_RNA from 1 species